UUAAACCAAUUGGUCUUAAUUGAUAACCAUGAGGCAUUCGAUUAAUAAAAUUAAUAUCAAAUUGAUUAGAGUUUCUUUGUUUUCCAUGUUAAGCUUUAGUUCAUUUUACGUCCACAUUGCUAAUGUUUAAGGCGCUUAGGAUGAAAACUUCUGUAAUUUGAACUUUGACUCGCAAUUGAAGCAAUCUGAUAAUUUAAUUUUAAGGAGGCAUGCAUGCUCCCAAAAAUUUGCUAUUUUUAAUUCUACUCUCUGACGUUGGUACUCACGAUCAAUUGAUCGGGUCAAACAAAAUUGAGCCAUAUAUAUAUAUAUAUAUUUUUUAAUUCAGUAGAUUGUUAUGAUGUAUAUUUUCUUUAAUCCAACUGGUCUUAAUUGAUAACUACGAGGCAUUGGAUUAAUAAAAUUAAUAUCAAAUUGGUUAGAGUUUCUUUGUUUUCCAUGUUAAACUUUAGUUCAUUUUACGUCUACGUUGCUAAUGGUUAUGGCGGUUAUUAUGAAAAUUUGUGUAAUUGGAACCUUGACGCAAGUGAAGCAAUCUGAUAAUUUAAUUUUAAGGAGGCAUGCAUGCGCCUGAAAAUUUGCUAUUUUCAAUUUUACUCUCUGACAUUGGUAUUCAUGAUCAGUUGAUCAGGUCAAGGUAAAAAAAAUUGAGCCAGAUUUUUAUUUUUUUUAAUUUUUUAAUUCAUUAGAUUGCAUACAUUGCAUCGCUUCCAUUUUGUAUCUUAUUGUAUAAUAUUUACUCCUUAGCUAUAAGGAUCCUGGACCACUUCAUCUUGCACAGUCACUACAAUGAAUAAUGCCACUAGCAACAAAAUUUUCUAUACUUGAUGACCAAAUUUCUGUGGGUCUAAGUCAUUCAUGGAACGAAAAUUUCAGUUGAAAAUCAGUCAUAAAAAGACCGACUCGGUAAAACUUACUUGUCAAAAACCAGUUGGUGAUUUUCUUUAAACCUUAAGAGAAACUAUAUUUUGGGGAAUGUUAUAUUUCAAUUCUUGUUCCUCCCUAAUCAUAGAGUGCAAUUAUCCUGUUAACCACGGAUUAACCUAUUAUUGGGCACUUUGUGUGGAAUUAUUUCUCUACUGGGCAUUGAUACAUGUUUAGGGCAUUUGUGUUAUAUAAAGGAUCUAUUAGAGGAUACUUUUGUAUGCCAGAGAAGUAUGAGAAACUUAUUUUUCUUGAAAACCUGCAGCGGAGAAUGAACCUCUAUAAAUGUGUGUACUUUGCUUGUUUACUGAUCAUUGGUUUCUGUUAUUAUUGCUCUCCUACAUAGGGGUUUGGGCUUAGUCCCAUGACAGUAGGGAGGGUCGGGUCGGGUUGGGUCAGAGCUAUGUCCGUUUUACUGUUUUCACUUAUAUAUCUACUAACGAGGCUAUCAUUUUGGACUAUUUUCUUCAUUGUUAUCAAUAUGGAAUGGAAGCUAAGAGCUAAAGCAAUGAUCUGACCAUUCUCUUUUUUGUUUUUGCAGCAAAACCUAAAUGUCUUCCAGGCCUUAAUUUUGUUAAAAUAUUAGACGAAGAUGAAGAGGCAUUUGAUGUCUUAUACUGCAUUGCAUUUGCAAUGUUGGAUGCUCAGUGGCUUGCCAUGCGUGCUUCAUAUAUGGAGUUCAAUGAGGUUCUACAAAUAACAAGGACACAAUUAGAGAGGGAACUGUCUUUAGAAGAUGUUCACAGAAUGCAGGACCUCCCAGCUUACAACCUGUUGUAUCAAUAGUUUCAAUUAGUCCAAACUUUAGAAGCAGUAAAAUGUUUCUAUGUAAAUUUUUUGUACUUGCACAUUUUUGCAGUUAAUAUGAAAUCAUGAUUCAAGAGUAUGUUAUCUUGAGACUAAUUUAAUAGAAUGCAUGUAGGUUUCUCA